UUCUAAUUCUAAAUUCUUGAAGAUUCCUACCGGUCAGUGGUAAGGCUUCAUUGGUCUUUCACUCUGCACUAAAGGGCAAAUUGCCUGUGUGUUAACACUUACUUCAGGGUGAAACUUUUCCACGAACGUCCUCCGGUUUGCUUGUUGUCCAGAAAAGCUUAAAGACUCACGCAGCCCAGUCAGGAGACGCCAAAUUGUCGUGAACAUUAGACAACACUCGCAGACUCGUCCUCUGAAGAAUUUGAUGAGCCAUGGAGGAUAAUGCCUUGGGAGAGCAAACGCUUCUUGGAGGAAAAACUGAGGAACUUUGAGCUCUGCAGUACUGAUGUUAAGUUUGACAGGAUUCUGGUUGUUGGUGAAGUUGGAGCAGGAAAGUCCAGCUUCAUUAAUGCAGUCAAUAACGCUUUCCAAGAGCGAAUCACCAGUGGGGCUCUUGUUGAUGGAAGAUCUGUAACCAGUUGCACAAAAAUUACAAAAGUUUUCAAGCUCAGGACUGGUUCAGAGAUACAAUCCCUGGUCCUCUUGAAAAAGUCGGUCUUUGGCUCGCU